AUGCAGUCCUAUAAUCAGGAAGUCAUCGGUGUCUACGUCACUUGUUCGAACACUUGUCACAACAUUAUUGUACAUGUCCUUUAUAAGGGUAAUGUACUUUGUUGGGACUUUGUGUUGCUCCAAGGCCCACCACAUGACAUUCUAUGGUAUCUUAUCAUAGGCCUUCUCCAAGUCAAUGAACACCAUAUGUAUGAAACCAAACUCUUGUCAUGCUUGUCAUUCUUCUUAAGCGGUGCUCAAUGA
rnacentral:rRNA from 1 species